GCGAGGUUAAUUUAAUGGUAGAAUAGUAGCCUUCCAAGCUGCCUGCACGGGUUCGAUUCCCGUACCUCGCA